rnacentral:rRNA from 1 species
AUUGGACGCUGGUGGCAUGCUUUACACAUGCAAGUCGAACGGCAGCGCGGGCUUCGGCCUGGCGGCGAGUGGCGAACGGGUGAGUAAUGCAUCGGAACGUGCCCAGUAGUGGGGGAUAGCCCGGCGAAAGCCGGAUUAAUACCGCAUACGACCUGAGGGUGAAAGCGGGGGACCGAAAGGCCUCGCGCUAUUGGAGCGGCCGAUGUCGGAUUAGCUAGUUGGUGGGGUAAAGGCUUACCAAGGCGACGAUCCGUAGCUGGUCUGAGAGGACGACCAGCCACACUGGGACUGAGACACGGCCCAGACUCCUACGGGAGGCAGCAGUGGGGAAUUUUGGACAAUGGGGGCAACCCUGAUCCAGCCAUGCCGCGUGCGGGAAGAAGGCCUUCGGGUUGUAAACCGCUUUUGUUCGGGAAGAAAUCCUCUGGGCUAAUACCCCGGGGGGAUGACGGUACCGGAAGAAUAAGCACCGGCUAACUACGUG